ACCCAGUCACAAACCAAGAGUAUUCCUCCAAACAAGUCCCCCUAUUCUCCAUCCAAUUAGAUACCCCACCAGUAGACAUCUCGUGAUGGGGCUAAAAACAGACACACCAUGAUGGGGCUACAGACAGACAUCCUGCAAGGCAACCAAGAGACAGCAGCACGUCCAGAGAGGCUGACAAAUAGGAGAAGGAAGGGGCUGUUGGCAGCACCUAGAAUACUCACCAAAUCAGAUACCCCAUAAUGGGGCUACAGCUACAGACACUACGUGAUGGGCUACAGACAGACACCCAGUGAUAGGGCUAGAGUCUCAGACAUCCAGUGGUGGAGCUGGAGACAGACACCCCACCAUGGGGCUACAGACAAACAUUCCAGCAUGGAGCUACAGUUAUGGGAUAUCUCCCAGGACUAUUUCUGUAUUGCAAUUAAAUCCAUGCCCAUUGGAUCAGCAGCACCCCACCAGUAGAGCCUAGAGUCCAAGAGAACUAGGUGGCCACUUGGGCUGGCCUCUGGAUCUGUUGCUGGAGGGAGUCUACCAAACCACGGGCAGGCAGCCACAAGGGCAAGCCCCAGCAAGCCCCAAAUUUGUAACUGCCCAUGGGUUCACCUUGUCUGCUGCCUAGACAAAGUUAAUUUAUCCAGACAGGGGAACUGCAGUAAAGAAAGUAACUCAUGCAGAGCCAGCUUUGCG
rnacentral:lncRNA from 1 species